GAGAGAGAGAGAGAGACAGAGAAGCGCCGCUCGCUUCGGACCCGCCGCCGCCGCCCCUCCUGACGGGCCUGCGGCUCCGGGCGGACGGAGGAUGGCGGGGGCUCCGACCCAGCUGGAAGCCGAGCUCUACUACCUGAUCGCCCGCUUCCUCCAGUCCGGACCCUGCAAGAAAUCGGCUCAGGUGCUGGUGGCCGAGCUGGAGGAGCACCAG